rnacentral:rRNA from 1 species
UACUGUCAGAGCGAACGCUGGCGGCAGGCCUAACACAUGCAAGUCGAACGGACCCUUCGGUUAGUGGCGGACGGGUGAGUAACACGUGGGAACGUGCCUUUAGGUUCGGAAUAGCUCCUGGAAACGGGUGGUAAUGCCGAAUGUGCCCUUCGGGAAAGAUUUAUCGCCUUUAGAGCGGCCCGCGUCUGAUUAGCUAGUUGGUGAGGUAAUGGCUCACCAAGGCGACGAUCAGUAGCUGGUCUGAGAGGAUGACCAGCCACAUUGGGACUGAGACACGGCCCAAACUCCUACGGGAGGCAGCAGUGGGAAUCUUGCGCAAUGGGCGAAAGCCUGACGCAGCCAUGCCGCGUGAAUGAUGAAGGUCUUAGGAUUGUAAAAUUCUUCACCGGACGAUAAUGACGGUACCCGGAGAAGAAGCCGGCUAACUUCGUGCCAGCAGCCGCGGUAAUACGAAGGGCUAGCGUUGCUCGGAAUUACUGGGCGUAAGGCGCGUAGGCGGACAUAAGUCAGGUGAAAUCCCAGAGCUCAACUCUGGAACUGCCUUUGAUACUGGAUGUCUUGAGUGUGAGAGAGGUAUGUGGAACUCCGAGUGUAGAGGUGAAAUUCGUAGAUAUUCGGAAGAACACCAGUGGCGAAGGCGACAUACUGGCUCAUUACU